AAUAAACCAAUUUUUUAUUUUUUACCUUCAAUUUUUGGCUCUUUAUCUUUUUCAAAAUUUUUUUGCGAUUAAUAUUUUUGUUUUAUUAGAUGAUAAAUUAUGAAUAUUACUUUACGUGUGACUAAUUUUUUUCUAAUUUUUUAAAAAAAUUUCAAAUAAGACGAUGAUCAAAUGUUGGACACGAAAAUUGAAGAAUUCAUUUUUU
rnacentral:pre_miRNA from 1 species